AAACGUAGGAGGCAAGCGUUAUCCGAAUUCACUGGGCGUAAAGCGCGUGCAGGCGGUUCGGUAAGUUGGAUGUGAAAUCUCCCGGCUCAACUGGGAGAGGUCGUUCAAGACUGUCGGACUCGAGGAUGGUAGAGGAAGGUGGAAUUCCCGGUGUAGUAGUGAAAUGCGUAGAUAUCGGGAGGAACACCUGUGGCGAAGGCGGCCUUCUGGACCAUACCUGCCGCUCAGACGCGAAAGCUAGGGGAGCGAACGGGAUUAGAAACCCCGGUAGUCCUAGCCGUAAACGAUGUGAACUUGGCGUCGGUGGUGUAAAAACCAUCGGUGCCGAAGCUAACGCGAUAAGUUCACCGCCUGGGGACUACGGCCGCAAGGUUAAAACUCAAAUGAAUUGACGGGG
rnacentral:rRNA from 1 species